UGGAGGAGUAGCGAAGUGGCUAAACGCGGCGGUCUGUAAAACCGCUCUCUCUGAGUUCGGCGGUUCGAAUCCACCCUCCUCCAU
rnacentral:tRNA from 5 species